AUUGAACGCUGGCGGCAGGCCUAACACAUGCAAGUCGAGCGGGAACUUCGGUUCUAGCGGCGGACGGGUGAGUAAUGCGUAGGAAGCUACCCGACAGAGGGGGAUACCAGUUGGAAACGACUGUUAAUACCGCAUAAUGUCUACGGACCAAAGUGUGGGACCUUCGGGCCACAUGCUGUCGGAUGCGCCUACGUGGGAUUAGCUAGUUGGUGAGGUAAUGGCUCACCAAGGCGACGAUCCCUAGCUGGUUUGAGAGGAUGAUCAGCCACACUGGAACUGAGACACGGGCCAGACUCCUACGGGAGGCAGCAGUGGGGAAUAUUGGACAAUGGGCGCAAGCCUGAUCCAGCCAUGCCGCGUGUGUGAAGAAGGCCUUCGGGUUGUAAAGCACUUUCAGUAGGGAGGAAGAGUUGAGUGUUAAUAGUACUCAGCUUUGACGUUACCUACAGAAGAAGCACCGGCUAACUCUGUGCCAGCCGCCGCGGUAAGAC
rnacentral:rRNA from 1 species